rnacentral:rRNA from 1 species
GAUGAACGCUGGCGGCGUGCCUAAUACAUGCAAGUCGAGCGAACAGACGAGGAGCUUGCUCCUUUGACGUUAGCGGCGGACGGGUGAGUAACACGUGGAUAACCUACCUAUAAGACUGGGAUAACUUUGGGAAACCGGAGCUAAUACCGGAUAACAUGUUGAACCGCAUGGUUCAACAGUGAAAGACGGUCUUGCUGUCACUUAUAGAUGGAUCCGCGCCGCAUUAGCUAGUUGGUAAGGUAACGGCUUACCAAGGCAACGAUGCGUAGCCGACCUGAGAGGGUGAUCGGCCACACUGGAACUGAGACACGGUCCAGACUCCUACGGGAGGCAGCAGUAGGGAAUCUUCCGCAGUGGGCGAAAGCCUGACGGAGCAACGCCGCGUGAGUGAAGAAGGUCUUCGGAUCGUAAAACUCUGUUAUUAGGGAAGAACAAAUGUGUAAGUAACUAUGCACGUCUUGACGGUACCUAAUCAGAAAGCCACGGCUAACUACGU